CCACUGAGAAAGGCGAGCGUGAAUCAAGUAAAUCGGCCAGCUGCGAGCCCCAACCGAACGGUGCGUGUCUUCAAGGGGACUCCAAUACUAAAUCGCAAAACUACAGUGCUACUCUAUUCCUGAAUGACGAUUCAAAAGGAGGCCACCUCGUGUUCACCGGCAAAUCGGGCUCCAAAAUACGAGCCGUAGUCCCUUCCAAGUGCGGUCGUGCCGUGAUCGCAGCCAGCGAUCAGCCCCACGGCUACCUGCCGGUCUCGAAAGCAAGGGGCCGCCACUGUCGCCUCGUGCUAGGCUUCACGCACGCAGCGUCCCAGCGGGACCGGACUAGAGACGCGCUCAAGACUGCCGUGUCCGAGGCGCGACGAAGACUCCGGGAUCGGCGGCGUCCCGGCAGUCAGCCGAGCCCCUCCAGCACCGCAUUCUUCGUGCGACGACUGCACAAGCAGGCGCCGACGUCGCAGCGGUGUCGCAUUAUCAUCGUUCUGGGCGGCAUCGCACCCAUCCUGGCCUGCUACGUCUGCUUCUUCGGCUGCCAAUUUUAUAACUAUCUCUGUCCCCACCGGAAGCUGGAUUUUUCCCGCUUCUUCAAUUAUUUCGCGAAUUAAAAAUGCU